AUGGGGACUCAUUAUUCAGUCAGAGAUUAUUGUCCCUGCUUCUUUGCAGCCAGCGCAAUCACCUUCAGACUGCUUUCUGUCUGUAGCAGAGAUCAAGGCUGUUCUGCAGUUUUCUCAGCUGUAUUUAUUUAUUCUGUCAUCGCUGGGCUCUGCGCUUCAUCAAAACAAACAAACCCAUCAGCAGAUUUUUGGCAACAGAAAAGUCACUUUAUUCAGCCUUAGUGGCAUUUCUCCUCGCCUGCUUUACGUUUUAUCACUCGGCAGGAUAUUUCAUAGCUGCUGAGGUGAGGAUAGGCCUAUUUCUAGAAUACUG
ensembl:lncRNA